AGAAAAGAGGAAGUAAAGAAAAAAAGAGUAAGCAAAUGAGUAUUAAAAGACAAGUCAGUUAAUUAAUGGCUAUUGCACAAUUUGGGAAAAUUAUUGUAGUUAAUUUAUUUAUAUGGUCUUGUGUGACAUUAUUGGAAAGUAGUUAAGCUUGAGUGCUUGAGAUUCAGACUGCUUGGGUCAAAUCUCUAGGUCUGAUACUUCCUAGUGGUGUCAGUGUGGGCAAGUUACUUCUCUUUGGCUGAUCCUCCUCAAUAGUACAACAAGGAUACAAAGCAGAAUUUUGUAAGGAUAAAAUAAAUGAAUACAUAUAAAAUGCUUAGAUUGCUCAUAGGAAAUGGUCAAUAAAUGUUAGUUUAUUUUGUUUUCAUUGUUGUGAUGAUGAUGAUGAUGUGGUAUCGAUAUGCAGAUGGCAAAGCAGUAUCUUUCUGGACAAAAAAGAAGAGCAAAAUGAUAUUUGUUAGGUGACUACUAUGAGCAGGUACUACACUAGCACCUGCUUUGUAUUCUCUAAUAUAUUUUUAAUUUUAGUUAAAUUAUCAACAUUUUAAAUUUAUCAACAUUAUUUAUUAUUUAUUUUGGCAUAGUAGCUAGAAUAGGGAAGGGAUACAAUAUUACCUUUUCUUAAAUUGAGUGCUAUUAUUAGGUGUAUUUGACCUGUAUUAGGUAUUGCUAUAUCUGCAAAGAACUUAUAAGAUGAAGUAAUCUUCUAACAUACAGAACUGGCAAAGAAUGGAAAUUUAAAAUUCUAUAAGAAAAGCUUAAAUGAAAAAAUCCCAGCAAAGGUGAUCAUGUACGAAUGUGGAUAGUGAGGCACUCAUGAAUCACAUAAUUCUAGUACUGCCCAUGGUAAAUUCAUAUCAAUAUUCACCAAAGUAUUUUUUCCUCUGCACAGGAAAAGAAAGAAAUAAAAGCGAGACAAUUUCUGCAUCACUCCCUAGAACCACGGAAAUGAUUUUAAUUACCAAUUCAUCUGUUGGCAGACUCUUCUGGCAGAUGUACCUGCAACUUGGAAAGAUAACAAAUGAACCAAUUCCUUACUCCAGAGUUGACACUGAUAGUGCUUACUGAAUUUGCUCUCAGAAAAGAAUCCUGGGCAACAAUACAUCUGGCACUCUGCUCGAGGAAUUUGUCAUGUCAUUGACAUGUUCAGCCUCCAUUGUCCACACCACCCCGACAGCAGGUCCUUUAUAUUUCAAAGAAAUUGCAGCCUGAAUUAAUAUAAUUAGAAUGUAACUGCUAUUCACUGCAGAAACUCCUUAUUUCCAGGAGUGGAGAUCUGAUAGCAUGUCUGUACUUAAAAUCUUUCCCAUGAUGGUUGGAGGGGAGCAAGCAGAUAAUAAAAUGACAGAAUAUAUGCUAUUUCACAGACUUUUUGAAGUAUUAGCUAAUGGAAAUAUAGGGGGAGAAGAAAACUGUUCUACCCUUGGCAUGUAUAAAUAGAAACAUCUUUUAAGUUUACUUGCCUUUAUAGUACUUCCAUAAAAUAUGUUCUAAAGAGUAUCUAAACUCAGAGAAAUAAAUUAAAUCAGAAAGAUUACAUAUCUCCAAAAAGUAUGCAAUGAAGCAUGAAGUAGAGUGGCUAAUUCAUAGACAGAAUUACAGAUUUCAGAGAUGGUUGAAUAACUUCAGUCAUUUUUCCCUGCUUCCCUUUGAACAGUUGAUGUCACCAACUAAGCAACUGUCACCAAGUUAAUAACUUGGAUGCUGGAUUUUUGAAUUUUAUUCUUUGUUAGCAUUCUGUUUCUACAAAUACUUGAUUAUUGAUAUAGUGGAAACUGACAUUGGCAUCUUUCUUUUGAAAAUAAGAUUGAUUCACAUUCUUCCAAAUAAGUUAACAUUCUCACUGGGAAUGAUUCAUUUGAGGGAGAACAAUGGCCUGGCAUAUCAAUGUAUAGGCUGGUGCUUAUGGCCUCUUCUCUGAAGAAUAUAAUGUUUAUCCUUGUACAUGUUAUAGACUGUUUGUAUCCUUCUGAAAUGUAUAUGUUGAAGCCCUAAUUCCCAGGGUAAUGGUAUUUGGAUAUGCAGCCUUUAGGUAAUUAGAUUUAGGAGUCUUGAGGGUGGAGCUCUCAUGAUGGAAUUAGUGUCCUUGUAAGAAGAGGAAACAAAGAUCAGAGUGCUUGCUCUCUCUUUCUCUCUCUCUCUCUCUCUCUCUCUCUCUCUCUCUCUCUCUCCCCCCCUCCCCUCUGAGCCCUGCCUCCAGACCUCCGACUAUGUGAAGAUACAGUGGGAAGAUGACUGUCCACAAUAUAGGAAGAGAGCCCUCACUGAGAAACCAAAUUGGCCAGUAUCUUGAUCUUGGAUUUCUCAGCCUCAAGAACCCUGAGAAAUAAAUGUCUGUUGUUCAAGCCACCCAGUCUAUGGUAUUUUGUGAUGGCAGCCCCAGCUGACCAAGAUAGUGCAUUUGAUAUUGCAUAUGAAUUUAAUGAGCAUUGAGAAGAGCUAAUGUUUUUCAUUUUUUCCCCUUAGAAGCAUCUAUUGAUCUUCAUCUGAAAUUAUGUCAGAAACUACAAUAAUAGAAAUAAAGAUAAUGGGCUAGGUAGUGUAAGAACAGGGCUAAGGUUAUGUAAGCGAGAGACAGUUUCAAGAGAUGAAUUUCAGUAGCCUUUAAAAUUUUAAAUCAAAUACACUUUAUAAACCAAAUGCAUUAUGUUAAGGAGCUGUAGACAUCGGUUUCUCCUUAUAAAGAUUGCAUAUACAUUUAGUUACCAUCUUGGACAAGUCAGGAAUGAUUCCUUUCUUCCAAGUUGUGCUGUGGAAUAUCUUCUUUGUCUCCCUCAACAUAGAGGAACUAUCCACCAUUUUCCAUUAAAUAGCCUAUAAUUAGGUGUGUUUCAGAAUCACUUGUAUGUAUGUACGUGGUGGUUGGAUGUGGGUGGAUUGGGAAGGACUUGUUAAAAUGCCCAUGCCUGAAUUCCUCCCAGAUCCACUAAAUCAGAAUUUUCAGCUGUAGUGCCCAAAUUAUCUAAGUUAAAAACCACUCCAAGAGCUUCUGAUACAUACCAGACUUGACAUCCAUAGACCAAUGUUCUCAUUCAUUGAUACACAUAUUCAAGUUUACUACCUAGGCAGAUCUUUCUAUAGGUUAUGUAUGUGAGUUUAAAAAUGGGUACAUUUAAUUUUUGUAAAUGGAAAUCCAUUUAAGACAUUUUGGGCCAAUGGUUUUGAGGAGAGCCCAUUAGAAUAACAGCUGGGCUCCCCAAUUUCCUCAUUGCACACCUUCCUUCUGCCUUUGCCAUAGGUUGCUUAGUUUCCCAGUCUGCCUGUCGGGUCUGAGUUAGAAAGAAAAAUGGGUAUCUCACAGUUCCUAGCAAUUUACUUUGCAAAAGAAUGCAGUAGAGAUUUAUAUUUUAAUGUAAAAAAAUCCUUUGAGUAAAUAGUUUUCCCUCUUUCCAAUAUAUUUUCUUAUUAUUCUGUAUAUUUAAUAAUGGGAUUAUAUGUUAUAAACACAUGCUAAGACAUCCAAAUAUAUGCACAGAUGGAAAAUAUCAAGCUUGCAGGAAAGGUCCAUCCCCCAAACACAAUUUUAAGGGGUUUUGCCUUUGUUUUCUCUAAGGAAUACGAAAGUCAGACUUGAACAAAGGAGGUUUAGGGAAUUCUGUUGCUAGUCUCCUAAUUUCCACCAAAUGCUAAUUCUGAUGUUGUCUUUUUGAUUUUUAGUGGCCUUUAGAGAAUUCUAGGGGUGGGGGGUGGGUAGGAAGUGGAUUGAGGAUGCGGGAGCGUUCCUAUCUGAUGUCUGACCAACGAAUUGUUAGAUAAACUAGUCAUGUAGAAAACAGCUUGAUUUAGCCAAGAGAGAUAAUAGUGACUCCCAGGAUCCAGCCCGCCCUGUAACAACCCAGAGGACUUCUUUCCUGAGGUUUACAGAAUACAUUGAUUGGUGAAUCAAGUAGAUGUAGUAAAUAUGUAAAAAUUAUAUUCUCCAAAUUUUUUUAAAUUGUAAAAUAAGCACAUAGUUUUGGAAGACUAUAUGGGGAAAAAGUAAUGCAGAGGAAAAAAAAAAGAAGGGAGAAAAUAUGGGCCAAGGUGCUGCUUUCAGAAUCAGACACGUGGAUUAGAUUUCAGUAUUAGUUGUUGUAUGUCUUUGGGCAGUUUUUUCACAUUUCUAAACCAAGGUUGUCAUCUGUUAAAUGGGAACAAUAUCGCUCUCACAUGGCUAUGGUAAGGGUUUGCUGAAGUAUUUAUUUUACAGUCUGUAAAAGGAUUUAAGAAAAAUGCCUGAUGUACAGUAGCUGUCAACACAAUACAUUUGAGAUAAUAGUAUUGUUAUUGCUGGCAGCAGAGUGUGGUAGUUACUAACUAUUUUUUUCUGGGUAUGCAGUCUUAACUUUGAACGCCUUUUGAUUUGAGGCAGAAUUACUGCUAUUGGAAUUUCUAGCACUAAGUCUACAUGAUAUUUUUAAGAAUUUGUUGAGAUCUCUUAAAUUAUUACCAUUAUCAAGAAAUAGAUUUGCUAUGUCUGUUUUCUUGAUUUAUUAACUGAAAUUCCGUAAUCCUUGCCUUAAGCUUAUAAGCAUUCUUCUUAGUUUGAUUUUUAAAAUACCCUCAGAAACCAUUAAUGUUCACAAGAAAGUAAGAAAUCUUUGCAAUAAUAUUUCAUUGUAUCAUCAGAUGUUUUCUUUCCUGAAAAACCAAUGAAGAAUGGCAGUUUUAUAUGUAAAACAGUAGUUAGCCUUUAUAUGGAUGACAUAUUCCUAAAAGCCUAGAAAAAUUUCACAUUUGCAGAAAAAUACUCUGUUCCCAGAUUAAAUCUGAGUAAAAUUCAAAUCUAUAUUAACAUCUCAUUACUUUUUGAAAAAAGUGAAUGCCACAUUUAAUGGAAAAUGCUCACUGUCUGUCCUCACUGCUUUUGUGGGCUUCUUAGCAAGGUCGUCCUGGGAUCCAGGAGGGCUGGACCACAGCUACAUCCUUGUUAAAACAGUCACCCGGCGUGAAUGUUGGCCUUUAGUUUUUCCUUCCUUUCCCCUCUCCCAUCCCUACAUUGUUUCAGCUGCCAGCUCCCUAAUAUUUUUUUCUGAAGCAAGGGAAAGGGAAGGGCAAAAAUGACUUUGAAAGAAUAACAUUUCUUUCUAUGGACUUAAAUAGAACAUUCAACACAAAACAUCCUGUGUUUUCUUUUAGUUGAUGACACACUGACUGUAGGAAUGAGUGAACUAAAAACCAGGGCUUGAUUUUCAAAUGGGGGUUAUUUUAGUUGCAUACUACCUGAUCAAGGGAAAGUUGUUAAACUAUUUUAAAUUAUAACCUGUUCGUUUCUCCUCUGUACUCCUGAUCUCCUUAUCUUGCUGUGCGUUUCUUUUCUCCAUUUUACAUAUCACCUUCUAAUGUGUGUUUAUUAUGUUUUUUGUUCAUUUUCCCACUCUCCUGCCUAUGACAGAAGUCCAUGAGAGCAAGCAGCUUUAUCCAUUUUGCUCACUGUUGGAUUCCCUGUUUUAAAAAUAUCACCUGGCCCAACAUAGGUGCUCAAUAAAUAUUUGCAGCAUGAAUUAAUGAAAUAGUUUCUUUCUCAGUGUCUUUUUCUAUACAAUUAUGGUGAAAAUAACUGGUACAAAUAAGGUACAAAAACAUCUUAUAAAUAUGUGCUUAUACCUAGUAGAUACACUUGAAAGUACAGCUCUGCUGGGAGUGUACAUAUCUUAGUUGGUGAAGAAGAGAUAUUAAAAGAGUUAGAUUAAAAAGAAGCACCUUGUCACUCUCUAUUCUCUUAUUUACUCUGCUUUAUUUUUCUUCGAACCCUGACUCCUAACACCCAACAUAAUAUAUUUAUUUGCUUAUUGUCUACUUCCUCAUACUAGAAUGUAAGCUUUUUAAGGACAGGUUCUUGUGUGUUUUGUUCACUUUUAUAGCCCCAUUGCUUGGAUUCAUGCCUGAUACAGAGUAAGCACCCAACACAUAUUUGUUGAAUGAACAAAUGUAUGUUUGAAUGAGUGUGUUUGUUUUAGACUGUAUUCAUGCCUGCCUCUGGCUCCAUAUACAGACUCUUUGGAAUGAUUGUUCACUAAGACCUUAGUACUGUUGAGGUGGAUGAUGGGUGGGGAGAUAAAGGGAAGAAGAUGACCAAGAUUAUACUAAUAUUUGUAAACUUUUUCAUUAAUUGUGAAAAAGAUGCCCCACUCAUUAUAUAUGUGUGGUAUAGUAUGAGCCUAUGGACAGUGGUUUGGGUCCUGAAACAUCCACCUAUUUUCAGAAUACACUAAAAUUAUUUCUUAAUUUCUUGAUGUCACAUUUUCAUUAUUAGUAAAAUUAAAACAAUGUUUCCUUACCCAGGGCUAUAAUGGGAGAACAGAGAGGGACUGACACAUAGAAGUUUGUCAGUAAAUGUUAGCUAUCAUCGUCAUCAUCAUCAUCAUUAUCAACAUCAUCAUCAUUAUCAACAUCAUCAUCCAAGGGUUGGUGAACUAUAGCUGGUGGGCCAAAUCUGGCAUGUGGUAUACUUUUAUAAAUAAAGUUUUAUUGAACACAGUGCAUUAAUUUUCUUAUUGUCUCUGGCUGCUUUUAUAUUACAACAGCAGAAUUGAGUCAUGCCUUGCAAAUCCUAAAAUAUUUGCCCUCUCAUCCUUGAUAGAAAAAGUUUGGAAACUUUUAUCUAGAAAGUGGUCUAGCAAAGUGUGGUUCAUGGACGAGUUUGACCUGCAAACUACUUGUUAUUGGUUCAUGACAAGAAUUGGUUCCACACAGUAACGCCUGCCAGAAAAAACAGACAAACUCUGAGGAGCAACAAUGCCUAUUAUGUGUGGAGUAGAAGCUGCCAGACUUUGAUUACUGGCCAGACAUUAACCCCUUUGGUGUCUUAGGAGGGAAAAUGCCAAGUCUGAAUCCAGACAUUUCCAGGACUUUACAGUCCUUCAUGGUGUGAGACCAGGUGAUUUAUAAUGACUUGCGCAAAAAAAAAAAAAAACAAAAAAAACGACUACUGGGAGAAGGAAGUGCAAGUCAAAGGCCACAUCUCCUUGCUUCCUGAAUUCUGCCAUGAUUCAUUCCGGCAAGCGGACACAGACCUGAUCACCUCUGCUUUUCCCUUUGUUAGCCUGCCUGGUCAUGGAUGAGAAGCACGCAGCUCUUGCUACCUUCUUGUGGUGGUUUUGAUCCUGAAACAUCCACCCAUUUUCAGAAUAAACUAAAAUAAUUUCUUAAUUUCUUGAGGUCACGUUUGCAUUAUUUGUAAAAUUAAAACAAUGUUACCUAACCCAUGGCUAUUGUGGGAGAGUAGAGAGGGACUGACACAUAGAAGCUGGUCAGUAAAUGUUAGCUAUCAUCGUCAUCAUCAUCAUCAUUAUCAACAUCAUCAUCGAAGGGUUGGAUGGUGUUUUUCUGUUUUUGCCCAGGUGUCAGAAGGAGGGUGGCAAAUUUGGCACGCAAGAGGGAAACCUAUGUGCUUCACGAGGUCAUUGCUUACAGUACAACCACUAAAAGAGCAUUGCCUGCAAACUCUUUUGUGAUCAGUUUCUUCCCUUCUCUCAUAUACCCUCUGUAGGUCCACGGAUUGCAUUUUGAGAGCUCAGAGAAGCAGACAGCAAUGCAAUUUGUCACGGAAGGAUGAUUAUGUAUAUGCACUGUCAUGUCUAUUUCCAUGCCUAACUCAAAGGAGUCACAGGGAGAAAGUGAGCUCAGCCCGGGUAAAUUGGAGGUUGUGAUGACUUCUAGGAAGCCUCAGUAAAGAGAAACAAAGACAACACUGGCCCGCUGCUCUCUGCAAUGGUGGGACCCUUGUGGGAUAACUGUUUUAGGAAUGAAGGUGUCUAGCCUCUCUAGAAACGAAAAUGUAAGUUUGGCUGUGGUUGAGUAUUGAAUGGAGGCAAAAAGAAACUGACAUAUUUGCUCCUUUUCAAUUGUUUGUUUCACCCUGAGGGGCAUGGCUGCCUAAUUUUUUUCUCCAGAGAUAGGUGGACAGAUAAAGACAGGAAAGUAACAUCCACAGACUGCCCUCUGUGAAGGUGACAGUGAUGAAGGGAAUGCGUGAUCUGAACACUGGUAAAUAAAGUGACCGCAUAUUUCCCUAGCCAGGAGAGCAAUCUGGCUCAAAAGAAAGGAGAACAAUGACAUGACUCCCAGGCUGCUCCUAAGCCUUUGGCUAUUCUGUUCAGUACAAAUAAAAAGCAGUGAACAUAGCUGUGACCCGCCUUGUUGGCAACCACAGUGUCACAAUUCUUUGGGGCUUCACUUUGAGAAAUUGAGACCUACCUACCUUAACCCUGGGGGGUUCAGCUUACAGACUGGAAUGACAACUGAACUAUUCAUUUGCAGUAAUUCUGGAUUUUGUGCAUAUUUUAAAAAGGAAUACCAGUCUUGCCUAUAUUCAUUACAAAGUCCUCCCAGCUUUCAAAUCUUCCAAUACAAUGUCUCUUCUCUAGUCUUUUAAGCACAUCCUGUGACUGGAUAUGAUUAUGGGAGAUUUACAUGCAUCCUUGUCUAUUGUAUCAAAAGAUCAGGGAAUAAAAUGCCCAUCAUUAAAAUCCCAAAGUGAUUGGAUUGGCAUGAGAAAUGGGGAUGGGGCUGGCAUGGGAGAGAGGGUUCUGACUCUGAGAUUUCAUGAAAUGCAAAACAAUAGGACAGCUGCUCUUCCAUAAACAGAUUAUUAUUAUUAUUUCUACCUAGACAGCUUGAUAGCAGCCAUUAUCUUCUUUCUGGGUGUCUUAUCAAGUUCCGGCUGUGUGCAGCAUGGGUGAUAAGGAAUGAGAAAUGUCACCCAUGGGAUUGCCAAGGAUUAUUUCUAUGCACUGCUGUUCAGCAACAGCCAAUCCCUCAGAACUGAGAAGUAGUCCCAUUGUUCACGCUGGGCAGUUGCUAUUCUGACUAUCCCAAGAAAGCAGAAAAGGGAUGUAGUUGCCAUUGUGCAAAAGAUUGAUAUUUCAUUACUCUCAGCUAAAGUUCAAGCAGUCUUGAUUUUGAAAAGCAGAAUCAUCAUGAAAUAUCUUUGAAGAGAGAGAAGACAAGGGAAGAAAAGAAGAAUGAAAUGAGUUCAGAGCUUUUUAGAACUGUGAGAGAGUGCGAAAAAAGAAAGGUGUAAUACUUUCAAACAGUCGAAGUUAAAAUGCCAGGCGUCUAAGCCUCAGCGAAACUGAGCAGCAUCACAUCACCAUGACUUGUGGUCCAGCUGUUUAUUGCAAAGACUCCAUCCUGCAUUACUCACCAGAAAAUAGUUAGCUUUGCAUCUGGCAUUAUUUUAAUAAAAAAAAAAAAGUUAACUUACUAGAUUUCUGUUUGUCUGUGUUUCAUACAAGAUUCUUGAAUGAAAAUAAUCUGUUGAUAUUUAACAUUUUCCCUUUCCUUCUCGAUGAGAAAAUAAACGUUUUAUUAUACAUGCA